CUGCCCUCAGCCCUGCGGUAAUCCAAAAGCAUCUGACAAAGGGAAGUGGGAGUCUAGACAUGUCAAGAUAUAAAUUAGUGACUCUCAAACCCAGCCCUGGGGGCCCAUCAGUUUCACAUCGCUUAGUCAUUUUACUUCAAGCAAAAGUUACAGCAAAAAUACAGGUAAUAAAGUUACUACAGUGCCAUAAACUGACUAAAAGAUAUCACAAGAGGAACCUGACAUCACCAUUAGCAGAAGAGCUUCUU